rnacentral:lncRNA from 1 species
AAGCAAUCCAGUUAGAAGUCUCAUCUUAAUCCAUCGUGACCAACACACUAACAUUUUCUAGGAACAAUUCUACAUGGAAUGUCCUUCCCCUUAAUGUUGCGGUGUCAGUUAUUGUCGAACUGCACAGCGACCGUCGGUGAAAGUAAUGUUUUUGGCAUCCUGUUGACCGAGUCUGCUACAAAUGAGCAGGAACGGCUUCGAUAGGUGCCUGUGUAUAGACUAGAUGAACAGAUUCCAGCUAUGUGAUGAAGCUCACCUGUGCUGCAUUUGCCAGAUUGGUUGGGAUGAUCGUAUGACUUGAGGUCUACCUAUAAAAAAUAAAAUCCAAAAUGUUUUAAAUUGUUUGGUACAGUAACGUUAAGCCUACCGUUAACGUAAGCCUACACCGCUGGCUGUACAAAAUGGAACAUUACAGCCAGCAUAACUAAAAUAAAGUCAAUAUUCCACCCACAAAAAGUUACUGAUAAUGUACAACUUAGAGGCCGCCGGUCAAAUAUUUCUGCCUCUGAAAGAUUCAGCCGGAAAAGUGAAGACUCUGCAUCGUUAAGGGCCGCGUGCAGCAGUGCCACGUGGAAACUGGAAUAGUCAGCUAACAAUAAAACUUCUCGCACGAGUAGGUCCAUCACCACUUCCUACUACCGUAACUCAGUGGGCGGGCUCCUUGUGUUCGACCUGACCAAUCACAAGACCUUCGACCACGUGAGGGAGUGGCACAAGGAAGUGAGCGAGCACAUCCUGCCGCACAACAUGGUCUACAUCCUGAUUGGCCACAAAAGCGACCUAAACAAGGACCGGAAGGUGACGCGGGACGAGGCUGAGCAGCUGGCGGCGGAGAUGGGGAUCCGCUAUGUGGAGACGUCGGCUAAGUGCAACAGCAACGUGGAACGUGCCUUCCAGCUGCUCAGCAGGGACAUCUAUGAGCUGAUGAAGAUGGGGCAGAUCACCACGAGGGACGGGUGGGAUGGGGUGAAGAGUGGCCUCACUACCAGGGUCCUGUACCCGGGUGAUGAGGACAUUGAGGUGGAGCCGAGGGAGAAGAGUUGCAACUGCUGAGAGACUGACCUUCGAUCCCUGACCUCAUCAAUGGUAAUGUUCAUUACGCACCAAACGGAAGAAAACGGAUUGGAACUGAGAGGGACUACCAGGAAUUGUCCAAUAAGAAACGCAAAUGUAUCUUUUCCGUUGCGAAUCGUUCUAGAACGUGUUCCGAUGCGUUCCCUAAUAAACACGACUCAUGUCUCCACUGUUGUUCCCCCUCUCUUAUCUCCACAAGUAUCUCACAUCAACUCACAGUUUAGUCAGUUUCCCAUUGAAACUAAGCCAUGGUCUAAAGUAAGGCCCUUGUCCUGUGACAUCACGUGUGCACGUGUCACCAUAUGCCUAGUGUAGCUAGCCUGCCAUUCCUCUCUGUAUCAGUUCCUCCAGAGGUCAGGAUGGGGCUGUUUUCUGAUGGGAUUACGUGAUACACAACCUGUAGUACACAUCUUGAUGUGACAAAAGCUUCUCUACAAACACAAAAGUCUGAGUCUUUAGGCCAAACACCAGUGUAAAUCCUUGCAGUGGAAUAGCAUCAUACAUGUACAUGCUAAACCUACACAGUUGAACAUCACCUGGGUAGCUUUGGGCCCAGUUAGGUAAGGCAGACACAGAGGCUGCAUUUACAGAGGCAGCCCAAUCCUGAUAUUUUGCACAAUUAUUGUUCUUUUGACCAUUGAAAAGAGGCCUUUUGACAAUAAUUGGGCAAAAUAUCAGAUAUGGGCUGCUUGUGUAAAUGCAGCCAGAGACACCUGUGUGACAGUGAUCAGGCCUUGGGGUAUUCCAGUACGUAUUCUAUUCCUUCCUGGCAGCAUCCUUUUCCUUCCUGGAUGCCCUUUGCUGCCGCAGGAGUUAUUGGAUUCUUAAGCAGGCAAGGUCUUGACUGGUGGACAAUGCAUGAUUGUGGUCUGGCAUCACUCCCAUUACGUUGUUGUGGGUUGACUCCUGUCUGGCUAAGUGUGUGUGUGUGUGUGUGUGUGUGUGUGUGUGUGUGCGUGCGUGCGUGCAUGCGUGCGUGCGUGCGUGUGUUUGCAUGUGUGUGCCGUUGCUCUGCCUGCAGUCCCCUGAGACUGUACAUCAUGUCCGGUAUGGGCAGUCAUGUAAAAAGUACCCAAUCAUCAUACUUGAGUAAAAGUAAAAAUAUCUUAAUAGAAAAUGACUCAAGUAAAAGUGAAAGUCACCCAGUAAAAUACUACUUGAGUAAAAGUCUAAAAGUAUUUUGUUUUAAAUAUACUUAAGUAUCGAAAGUAAAUGUAAUUGCAAAAAUAUACUUAAAUAUCAAAAGUAAAAGUAAAACUAUUCAUAAUUUCAAAUUGCUUAUAUUAAGCAAACCAGGUGACACACGACAGCACGCAGACAUAAUUUACAAACAAAGAAUUUAUGUUUAGUGAGUUUAGUGACCAGGGAUGCUCUCUUAAUAAGUGUGUGAAUUAGACAAUUUUCCUGUACUGCUAAGCAUUCAAAAUGUAACCAGUACUUUUGUGUGUCAGGGAAAAUGUAUGGACUAAAAA